ACUUCCCGGCCCUAGCCUAGUGCUGUGUUAGUAAAUGUUUACCACAGGCUUUCUGGGGAAAAAGACCUGAUUUGUAGCAUUCACUGAUUUCUGUACUGUGAAUAUUCCCACCGCAGCCAGAUUCAAGCUGACAAUGUGAUGUCUUGGAAUGUGGAGUUGAGAAGAGAUGUGCACAAUCAACUCUGCAGCCAACUUCAGCCCACCACUGUCCUGGCCCCUCCUUUGUCUGGUAGGAGGCAGGAUAGAGGAAGAGAAAAUUGGCACAGCUAAAGAAUCCUAACCAGGAGCACCUGGGGAGCUUUUAUAAAUACAAACAGCUGUGUCCCACCCCUUGGCAAUACAGUAAGUAUUCUGCUAUCUGUAUUUGUCAAAAUUUACCCCAGUAAUUCUUCUGUUUAGCUGUUUGGGAGCCAUAUGUAUAUGUAAGUAAACUAUUGUUAUUAUAAUAAUAUCAUGAUUCUAAGAUGACAUACUAAUAGAAUUGGCUUAAGAUGAAUUAAGAAAAUUAAAUUUUUAAAAUGACAGCUACUUAAUUCUUUCUAAAAUAUAUUCCAUAUAUAAAAUCCUAAAUAUAGCACCAUGAGGUUAUAUGUAUAGGCAGCUAUUUUAAAAUAUGUAUAAGGAUAUAAAUGGUGAUUAUCAAUUAAUGGCAUCUGCUAGUUAUAUAGAUCGUUCCCCUUUAUAUACUGAGGGGAAACAUAUUUCUUAUAUAUUGAAAUUUUACUUUCUUAGAAAAGUAUUACAUGAAAUAUAAUUAUUGCCACAAUAAUUCUUUAAUGUGUUAUACUCUGCAAUCCUCUUGAAGGACUAAGUAGGCUCCCUAAACUAUAUGUGUAUGUAAAUGUAUGUAUCUACACAUACAUACAAAGAUAUAUACAUGUGUAUUAGUCUAUAGCAAAAUUACAUAAUUUUUCAUGCAUUACGCAUAAGGAGCAUAUUAAGGUUGGACAGAUCAGAGAUAUUAGGUUUUCUUAUUGAUUGAUUCAUCAAAGUGUUUUAACUGAGGACAGAUGAGUGAAAUUGUUAUGUCAUUCAUCAUCUUGAACAAUCUUCUUAAGAAUUUCAUAUUGAAUAUAAAUUACCAAACACAUUUUUAAGGUCUUUAUCUUUCCAAUGUUAAACCUUGAAUAUUUUGCAUUAAAGUCUAGAUCUAACUCAUUCACAUUGUUUUAGGGGUAGCAAAUGUAUGUCUAAAACUGUUUUCAGGGAAACUUAAGAGAUUUAUAAACUUCCUGAGAGUCUUUUUUUUCCUUUCUUAAAGACCAGGAAGUUUCGCUUAUUCUUGAGCAUCUUAUUAGCUGAAAAUAAAAGUUGAUCUCAUUCCAAUUGUAUACCAGUAACUCUCUUCCAAACUUUGAGCCCUGAGCAAAUCCUGUGAGAUAAUGUGCUUCUGAACAUUGCUGCCAAGAGCUGGGGUGGCAAUGGUCACAGAGACCUUUCACUUCCCAGCUACGUCAUGGCCACGUGUUUGUCCCCAGUGCAGAGAAAUAACUGUCUAGUCUCGACAAGAGUUAAUUGUAAAGGCAGAUCCAUGGGAGAAGAAAGAAAUUUGAAGUGAAUUGAAAUUUGUGAGCUUAGACAUAUGCUAAGAGUACAGUUAACUUGAGUUA